rnacentral:sRNA from 1 species
AUCCCCAUGUGAAUACUCGCAACUCGCAACCUGUAACCCCCAGCAAAAAACCACAAAGCAACGAGGAGAACAUGAACUCGCAAUUCAACUGCCAACAAGUUUAUAACUUUUUUCGGCACGCUCGGCUGCCGGAUUGAUUCGAUUAAAACGUCAACAGUGGCAGGCAGGCAGUCAGACUGGCAGGCUGGCUGGGGCUGGCUGGCAACUGGAAAUGAAGCUGAAGCUGAAGCUAAGGAAAAACAAUUCACCACACAGACACACGCACGCUCGCUUGGGAGAGGAUACAUAUACGAAGGUCCUGUCAUAUCCAUCUCGAUCUCGUUGCCUGCAAAGUUGUCACACCAAAUUUUGCUUUACUUUUAUUUUGUCAUCUUCGGCUCGUGUCUGUUGUUUAUCCAGCCUUGAUGUCGUCGCACACUCGCAGCAGCCCUUUUGACAUUUUGCCUCAGCCGCAGGCAGGGCGGUGUCAGGAGGGUCUGAGGUCAGGGCACGCCAGGCCUUAGCCUGUCAUGUCGUUUGAUCUUUUAUUGUGUUUGUUUUACGAGGCGCAGUAAAUCCCUUUUAAAUUGCAAAUUCUUUAUGCUCGCAUUUUCGGCUCACGCAUAAACACCCUGCCAGAAAAAGCCCUCCCUCUGAAAGCCCCCGAAUCCUACUCAUAUGCAGAAGGGAGAUAAGUGAAAGUGACUGAGUCCUGUCGCCAACGACGCGUUGUCACUUGGAUAUAUUUUUCACCUACCACACCCACGCUCCAACGCCAACGCCCACGGCAGUGCUGGCCCAGUUUGCUGGCCAUUCGCCAGCCACCCCUGGUGAGUGAUAAAAAUUUAUUGGAUCGAAAACAAUAAAUAUUUGAUUUGAUUCAUUUCGUCGCCGUUGCCGUCGUCGUCGAGCCUGUUGUGAAUGUGGAAUCCUUGUCGGAGUCGUUUGCAGCUCAUGAUUCACUUUCGAUUGAUUUGCUGGCGGUGUCCAUUCGGUUAAUUGAAAUACAAAACUGUUUAUGUGCUCUAAAGUUUUUCCCCAAGUCCAGGCCCCGAAAUUGAUGAUGAGCCAUAAACAAAAAUUACAAAAAAUGAGCUGGACAAAAAGGUUGCGUGCCAUUCGGAGGGUCAAAGUGUAAUUAACUUCGUCGCUAGCCUUCAUUUGCAGCCCAUCAAGGAGAUGAAGGAGCGAAUUAGGAGAACCGAAUACGGAAUGUGGGCUAAGGAUUACAGUAUACGGAAUCCGGUAGAACAAAAGAAACAAAACAAGGGCCGCAAUCCCCAGCAUUUCAACGCCUAUUACAACUGCAAAUGAACCCAUAAACCCAUUUAAGCAAUGCCCGAAACACGGAAAACUUUUCCACCACGACGCCGGCGACGACAAAGGGCAUUUCCCGAAGCAGCGAACAAAUCCAGGGGGCGUAGGUUCCGUCCAGCCUUUCUGAUUAUUGCUCAGCACUUGAAAAGUUUUCUUUGGGCGGCGGCUUACUGCCUGCCAGAACUUUACUUACACCUAAAGCUCCCGCCAGACCUCACCCACCUCACCGAAAACCCUAAAAACCUACAAGGCAAGGCCAGCACUUUGAAUAAGAGAUAAAACUGUUACGUGCCUCGUGUCUGACUGAAUGGAGAAAUAUUUCUCUUAUCGCAGUGAAAAGAUGUUUCGUGCCCUGCGUGUUUACCUUGGACGUAGUUGUUGCUGUUGCCCAUGCUUUUUCCUAUCCCGGUCCUAACCUGGUCCUAACACUGGUCAAAAAAGGACUUUGUAAGAGCCAUUCAUCAAGCAAAUAGCACAGUAUGCAUUCAUCUAUGGAAUUAUUCAAAAGAUCCUUUAAAUGUAUAUUGAAAUGCUACCCAAUAGAUAUUCAUUUCACAACA